rnacentral:rRNA from 1 species
UACGUAGGGGGCAAGCGUUAUCCAGAUUUACUGGGCGUAAAGCGCGUGUAGGCGGCUGGUUAGGUGUGAUGUGAAAUCUUCCGGCUCAACCGGAAAACUGCAUUGCAAACCGGCCUGGCUAGAGUGCAGGAGAGGGAAGCGGAAUUCCAGGUGUAGCGGUGAAAUGCGCAGAUAUCGGGAAGAACACCCGUGGCGAAGGCGGUUCUCUGGGACGGUACUGACGCUGAGACGCGAAAGCGUGGGGAGCGAACAGG